GGAUGGUCUCCGUGGGAGGCCGACAGGAUUCUGCACAUAGAAUCAGCUCACUCUUCUACAGGGGAUGUUCAGCUUUUUUGGCUCCGAUUAUUACAAACAUCUUGCUUUUUUGGACUUUUCUCUGUUAGCAUGGCUGCUUGUCACAUUAUUGCUUUCCUUGCUUUAGGGUAG
rnacentral:lncRNA from 1 species